UACGAAGGGUGCAAGCGUUAAUCGGAAUUACUGGGCGUAAAGGGUGCGUAGGCGGUUAGUUAAGUCUGUUGUGAAAUCCCCGGGCUCAACCUGGGAAUGGCAAUGGAUACUGGCUGGCUAGAGUGUGUCAGAGGAUGGUGGAAUUCCCGGUGUAGCGGUGAAAUGCGUAGAUAUUGGGAGGAACACCAGUGGCGAAGGCGGCUACCUGGACCGGUUCUGACGCUGAUGCGCGAAAGCGUGGGUAGCAAACAGG
rnacentral:rRNA from 1 species